CACCGCUAUCUUGUGAUAGCCUUGGGUUAAUCUUAGUUUUAACAUAAUUUUAAGUCUUAACUUGCAUGCAAUUUACUUAAUAGGUGACACUUCCCCAUCGGUAGGGGAAAUGCACAAGGUAUUUUGCAUCAAAGAGGGUGUAUCACCCUUGGAGAUGCUGGGAAGUGGAGAUAUUCUUGAGAAAUUCAAGAGUUUUUUACUUCUCUACUCUACUAAGUAUCUUUAAGAGUGAGAGACUCUCAUAGAUACUGUAGAGUACAACAUUCACGCCUGGCGGUCCUUAGUUUAGUGAUAAGUUCAAUCUAUGAUUAGCAACUAUUUAUCAUCAUUUUUUGAUACUUUAAAAUUAGAGAUAUUCUUGAGAAAUUCAAGGGUUCUCUAAUGAGUAUCAUUGAGAGUAAGAAACUCUUAUUGAUACUGUCUUGUACAAACAUACACUCCUGUUGAUUCAGGUAUUCUCUUAGUUCAGUCCAAGUUAAGAUUUGUAACUGUUUAUCUACAUUAUAUAAAAUUGCUUUGUUUUGUAAGUGCUUUACAAGUUUGUUGCAGCUUAGCCUACCAAAUGAAUCCAAGUGCACCAUUGUAGAUAUUUUUUAAAAGCAGGAUUGAUGAACAACUAAACAAACAAUAUUGUGGAGAUACAUGUGAAUUAUAAUGGAGAUGCCACCAGCUAUUCAAUGCAUUGGAGAGCAGCUCUACUACCAAAGUGGAGAUGUGGAUCACUGGAUGUGGAUUGAUGAACAACUAAACAAACAAUAUUGUGGAGAUACAUGUGAAUUAUAAUGGAGAUGCCACCAGCUAUUCAAUGCAUUGGAGAGCAGCUCUACUACCAAAGUGGAGAUGUGGAUCACUGGAUGUGGUAUGAGAUAUCUGUUAUUUAUAUUUUCAGUAGUCUAGACAGGAUAGAAUUCUCUAACACUUCCCUAUUCUAACACAGAUAUCAAGCUAGGGCCGGGAUGUUUAUGGUGGUUACUAUUAUGACACAGUUCAUCCCGACCCCUUCGGCAGUGCCUUGUUCUAUCCGGUUGGUUCUGAGUCCAAUGGGUGCUUUCAAGUUAGAGUCAACUGACCUGCAGAUCGCAUUUCCGCGUGCCAACAACUGGACGAACAUGUGCUACUGUUAGAUUGUGGUUUAUGGAUGGCUGUGGAGUAAGAAAAUCACCUUGAAUAGGGUUUGAGUUGUCAGGGUCCCUGUAGGAUAUUUGCAGUUGUCAGUCGACUAUUACAUUUCUGAUCAGUGCCCUUUGUGGUGGUGCCACAGCUUUUUCAUGAUGGUUGCGGGCUCAGUACAGCACUAAUUUGAUGAGCAGGUGGUACUGUUACACUGUGGCCUGGUCUGACUUGUUCUAUGAGACUGGCGAUGCAAAUAUUAGAUUGUAGUGCCUUCAGCAAACUUAGGGAUGGGGGUGUGAGAAUUAUCUGUCUUAAGAAUUAGAAUUAAGAAAAAUACGUUUAUAUCUGAGGCUGGAGUAAUAUUAAGUAUAGCCUCUAGCCUUUGCUAGUUGGCGGGGUGAAGCCUCUAGCCUUUGCUAGUUGGCGGGGUUAAGCCUCUAGCCUUUGCUAGUUGGCGGGGUGAAGCCUCUAGCCUUUGCUAGUUGGCGGGGUGAAGCCUCUAGCCUUUGCUAGUUGGCGGGGAGAAUGGAAAUCACCGCUAUCUUGUGAUAGCCUUGGGUUAAUCUUAGUUUUAACAUAAUUUUAAGUCUUAACUUGCAUGCAAUUUACUUAAUAGGUGACACUUCCCCAUCGGUAGGGGAAAUGCACAAGGUAUUUUGCAUCAAAGAGGGUGUAUCACCCUUGGAGAUGCUGGGAAGUGGAGAUAUUCUUGAGAAAUUCAAGAGUUUUUUACUUCUCUACUCUACUAAGUAUCUUUAAGAGUGAGAGACUCUCAUAGAUACUGUAGAGUACAACAUUCACGCCUGGCGGUCCUUAGUUUAGUGAUAAGUUCAAUCUAUGAUUAGCAACUAUUUAUCAUCAUUUUUUGAUACUUUAAAAUUAGAGAUAUUCUUGAGAAAUUCAAGGGUUCUCUAAUGAGUAUCAUUGAGAGUAAGAAACUCUUAUUGAUACUGUCUUGUACAAACAUACACUCCUGUUGAUUCAGGUAUUCUCUUAGUUCAGUCCAAGUUAAGAUUUGUAACUGUUUAUCUACAUUAUAUAAAAUUGCUUUGUUUUGUAAGUGCUUUACAAGUUUGUUGCAGCUUAGCCUACCAAAUGAAUCCAAGUGCACCAUUGUAGAUAUUUUUUAAAAGCAGGAUUGAUGAACAACUAAACAAACAAUAUUGUGGAGAUACAUGUGAAUUAUAAUGGAGAUGCCACCAGCUAUUCAAUGCAUUGGAGAGCAGCUCUACUACCAAAGUGGAGAUGUGGAUCACUGGAUGUGGUAUGAGAUAUCUGUUAUUUAUAUUUUCAGUAGUCUAGACAGGUUAGAAUUCUCUAACACUUCCCUAUUCUAACACAGAUAUCAAGCUAGGGCCGGGAUGUUUAUGGUGGUUACUAUUAUGACACAGUUCAUCCCGACCCCUUCGGCAGUGCCUUGUUCUAUCCGGUUGGUUCUGAGUCCAAUGGGUGCUUUCAAGUUAGAGUCAACUGACCUGCAGAUCGCAUUUCCGCGUGCCAACAACUGGACGAACAUGUGCUACUGUUAGAUUGUGGUUUAUGGAUGGCUGUGGAGUAAGAAAAUCACCUUGAAUAGGGUUUGAGUUGUCAGGGUCCCUGUAGGAUAUUUGCAGUUGUCAGUCGACUAUUACAUUUCUGAUCAGUGCCCUUUGUGGUGGUGCCACAGCUUUUUCAUGAUGGUUGCGGGCUCAGUACAGCACUAAUUUGAUGAGCAGGUGGUACUGUUACACUGUGGCCUGGUCUGACUUGUUCUAUGAGACUGGCGAUGCAAAUAUUAGAUUGUAGUGCCUUCAGCAAACUUAGGGAUGGGGGUGUGAGAAUUAUCUGUCUUAAGAAUUAGAAUUAAGAAAAAUACGUUUAUAUCUGAGGCUGGAGUGAUAUUAAGUAUAGUCUCUAGCCUUUGCUAGUUGGCGGGGUGAAGCCUCUAGCCUUUGCUAGUUGGCGGGGUGAAGCCUCUAGCCUUUGCUAGUUGGCGGGGAGAAUGGAAAUCACCGCUAUCUUGUGAUAGCCUUGGGUUAAUCUUAGUUUUAACAUAAUUUUAAGUCUUAACUUGCAUGCAAUUUACUUAAUAGGUGACACUUCCCCAUCGGUAGGGGAAAUGCACAAGGUAUUUUGCAUCAAAGAGGGUGUAUCACCCUUGGAGAUGCUGGGAAGUGGAGAUAUUCUUGAGAAAUUCAAGAGUUUUUUACUUCUCUACUCUACUAAGUAUCUUUAAGAGUGAGAGACUCUCAUAGAUACUGUAGAGUACAACAUUCACGCCUGGCGGUCCUUAGUUUAGUGAUAAGUUCAAUCUAUGAUUAGCAACUAUUUAUCAUCAUUUUUUGAUACUUUAAAAUUAGAGAUAUUCUUGAGAAAUUCAAGGGUUCUCUAAUGAGUAUCAUUGAGAGUAAGAAACUCUUAUUGAUACUGUCUUGUACAAACAUACACUCCUGUUGAUUCAGGUAUUCUCUUAGUUCAGUCCAAGUUAAGAUUUGUAACUGUUUAUCUACAUUAUAUAAAAUUGCUUUGUUUUGUAAGUGCUUUACAAGUUUGUUGCAGCUUAGCCUACCAAAUGAAUCCAAGUGCACCAUUGUAGAUAUUUUUUAAAAGCAGGAUUGAUGAACAACUAAACAAACAAUAUUGUGGAGAUACAUGUGAAUUAUAAUGGAGAUGCCACCAGCUAUUCAAUGCAUUGGAGAGCAGCUCUACUACCAAAGUGGAGAUGUGGAUCACUGGAUGUGGUAUGAGAUAUCUGUUAUUUAUAUUUUCAGUAGUCUAGACAGGUUAGAAUUCUCUAACACUUCCCUAUUCUAACACAGAUAUCAAGCUAGGGCCGGGAUGUUUAUGGUGGUUACUAUUAUGACACAGUUCAUCCCGACCCCUUCGGCAGUGCCUUGUUCUAUCCGGUUGGUUCUGAGUCCAAUGGGUGCUUUCAAGUUAGAGUCAACUGACCUGCAGAUCGCAUUUCCGCGUGCCAACAACUGGACGAACAUGUGCUACUGUUAGAUUGUGGUUUAUGGAUGGCUGUGGAGUAAGAAAAUCACCUUGAAUAGGGUUUGAGUUGUCAGG